rnacentral:lncRNA from 1 species
GCCUCUUCUUCACUUGGUUUUUCACCUCUGAGAUGUUCCGCUCUGCUGCAAGCAAUAGGGUGUUUCACAGAUCCAUACUUGUCUUUACAAUUUCCAGGCUUAGGAAAUAUUUUUAAAUUUUAUUGAUGACCUUUCCAAAGUUUAAAUGAGUUAGCCCUUGGAUGUUAAGAGGAAAUAGUAUUUUAAAGACAAAGUAAAAGAAUGCCAAAUCUAUGAGGACAUUAUGCUAAGUGAAAUAAGCCAGUCACAAAAUGACAAGUAUUGCUGAUUCCACCUAUAUAAGGUCCUAGAUUAGUCAAACUCGUAGAGACUGAGAGUAGAAAGGGGAUGCCAGGGACUGCAGAGUGGGGCUAGGGAAGUGGGGAGUUAGGAUUUAACGUGUACAGAGUUCCAGUUCGGGAGGAUGGAAAGACUUCCGGAGGUUAGGCACAGGGGCUCAUGCCUAUAAUCUCCACACUUUCAGAGACCAAGGAAGGAGAACUGCUUGAGGCCAGGAGUUUGAAACCAGACUGGGCAACAUAGUGAGAUCCCAUCUCUACAAAAAAUUUAAAAAAUUAAACAGUGUGGGGACGUGAGCCUGUAGCCCCAGCUACUCAGGAGGCUGAGGUGAGAGGAUUGUUUGAACCCAGGAGGUUGAGGCCACAGUGAGCUGUAAUCACACCACUCCACUCCAGUCUGGGUAACAGAGCGACACCCUAUCUCAAAUAAAUAAAUAAAUCUUUUUAAAAAUAAAAGAAUUGGAUAUGAUGUUAAAUUUUAUGUUAUGUGUAUAUUGCCACAAUUUAAAAUUUUUUAAAGAAUACCAAAUCAAGAAGUGCUAAAGUUCAUGGAAUUACCUAUAUCAGAGGUGGUGGGAGUCAGGAGUAUGGAAAAGAACCCUUCAAAUGAAAAGGUUCAUGAUUAUCGAAAACAGCUUGUCCUGUUUUUACCAACUGGAAACUUUCUCUAGGAAAGCAGCUAUUCCUAAUGGCAUUUCUAAAAUUAUGCAAACACAAAACCAAAAAGAAGGCAGGCACCCAGUAAAGUUAUCUAAGACUUUGGUGGGAAAAUAAAUAAAUAAACCUGCCGCCUCACGGUUGUUUCUCCUCACCUACAAGGCUUUGAUUUCUGAGAUGGGGCCUGAAGCAGGAAUUCCUCACACAAUGGAUGCUCAAUUUGUCACAGGAUGUGCCUCUCCACUCUCAUACCAGAUAAAAGGUUAGCCUGGUUUUUCAUCUAGCUGUGUCUCCCUCAGAAUCAAAACUAUCGUCCUCCUCAGUGCUGGAUCGAGUCCUUUCAUCUUUAAUUUGACCAAAAUGGAAACCAGGAUCAUGAGAAUUCCUCGGGGCUGGUGUUGAAAGGAAUUUCCCCUGCUCUUGCCAGAGUCUCGAGGGGUGGCCUCCUUCCACGGGUGAGUAACCACAAGUCCAUGUGACCGAACAAACAGCAUAUUCUUUUGUUCAAAAGAGAAAAACAACAUUGAAGGAAAUCAGCUGAAGAAAAUUGAGAUGAAAGCCAGUCCACGCCUCAGCAUCCUGAGGAAAUGUUCUUCCUUGAUGCUCUGAGCUCUCUAAGAAGUUACCACAAAACCAAACCCAUCAGAAGUUUGCAGGACGUCCUUGUUUAGAGCUGGGAAAUAAACCACGAAACAGCGCAAAGGAGAGUCCAGGCCUGCCAAUGCUUCCGCGAACUCCUCGCCCCGACCUCAUCCUUCUCCAGCUCCUACCUGCAGGCCUCAGACAACUUUUGCAGACCUCUGGUCCGGACAAUGAACAACCCAUAGAACAAGAUCUGAUUUGUAAUGUUUGCUGAUCUCCAAAGUGUAAAUACUCCCACCAUGACCAAUUGGAAGCCACUGACAAGUCCUCACUAAAUGCAGAAUUGAGAAGAAACACGAAUAGCACAUCAUUGUAUGGUAUUUCCACUCUACCAAUGGAUGUGAAUAACCUCAAGAACACAUAAUGUUGAGAUGUGGAAAAAUCAUCAGGAAGCCUCUCCCCUUCACCCUGCAGUGUCUCUGCAAUGCUGGUAGAGUGGGCUGGCACAGCCCCCGCCUCUGGCCUGGUCCGGGUCCAACCUGCCUGCCUCCUGGGGCAGCAGCUCCCUGAACGAAGAGCCGCGGAGACCGAAGAACUCAGUGAAUCAGCAGUUCUCCCAGAUGAAACGCUGGCCUGAAAGCAGCCUCAAGAGCUUUGGCCCGUCACCUUGCCUUGCCUUCUCUUCCUUCCUCGUCCUCUGUUUGUUCAUCUUUCCUGAAAAAAUUAAGUCAGCUGUUCCCCUUAACCAAUUUCCCUGGCAUUCUGAAGGGUAGGCCACAUGGCCCACCUGCCAGCUACUCCCACCUGCCAAGCCUUCCUGACUAUAUUUACCCUGGUACUCCCAUGUCCCGGGGCUGCUUCAGCAGAGCCAAGGACACACCCAGGUGUUUGUUUUCUAGGUCAGAUUUCCUCAGCCAUGGGUGUAUCUGUGCUUGUCCCUCAAAAUCCUCAUAGCUCCUUUCCCCACCCCAACUUCCAGGCCAGACGGGGUUCAGGGGUGUCUCAGCUAAGGUUCCCCUGAAGCAGACACAAAUUAGUACAAAAGGGACUUAUUAGGAGGUGAUCCUUAAAAAUUUGGGCAGGAGAAUGGAAAGGGUGGACACAGACAAAAAGGAUGCCAAGUGAGAAUGUGAUGAUUACUGCUGCAGUUUUCUACAGCUGCCUGUCAAACUAUCCCAACACAGUGGCAUUGACCAGCAGCCAUUUUCGCUAUGCCCACAGCUUCUGUGGGUCAGGCGUUUGGACAGGGCAAUGGGAACAGCUUGUUUCUGUUCCAUAGUGUGUGAGGGAGGCCUCAACUGGAAAACUCAAAGACCGGGGUGGCUUGAUGACUGGAGGCUGGAACCAUCCGGAAGCUUCUUGAAGCUGGGUUGACUUACAUGUGGUCUUGCAUGUGAGUUGGGCUUUUCACAUCAUGGCUGUUGGGUUCCAAGAGGCAGUGUCUGGGGAACAAGAGUUCCAAGACACCAAGGCAGAAGCUGCUAGACCUUUUUUGACCUCGCUUCGGAUGUCAGCAAUGAAGUUCUGUGGAUUCAACUGCAUUCUAUUGGUUACCAGCAGUCGCUUGAAUCUGAUUAGCUCCAAAACUGAGUGAGCCUCUGGCAAGAGUGCAUUGCAGAAGGGCACAUCCAAUGAGAGGCGCUGCUGUAGUAACAGGGACCUCUCCAAUGGCCUGUUUGAGUGCUCUCAGAAUAUGGCACCUGGGUUCCUCCAGAGCAAGUGAUCUGAGAGAGAGCAAGGAGAAGGCCACUCUGCCUUUCAUGACUCAUCUCAGAAGUCACACACUAUCACAGGUUCUGUUCUGUUCAUUGGAAGUGAGUCAUGAAGUCCGGCCCACACUCAAGAGAAAGGAAAUUAUGCUCCUUCUUUUGAAAUGAGUGUAAGAAAGUAAAACUUUGUCAAAUGUGUAUGUGUGUGUGUGUGUGUGUCCCUAAACUAUGUGUCUUUUUUUUUAAUCUUUCCUAAAUGGAAUCACACUGUGAGUGUUCUGUGACUUGAAGUUUCACAAGACAUUAUAUUUCUGAAAUCCAUUCAUGUUGACACACUGUAUUAGUUUGCUCCAGCUGCCAUAACAAAAUACCACAGACUAGGGGCUUAAACAACAGAAAUUUACUUUCUCACCAGUUCUGGAGGCUGAAGUUCGAGAUCCAGGCAUGGGCAGGAUCAGUUUCUCCUGGGGCCUCUGUCCUCGGCUUGCAGAUGGCAUCUUCUCCCUGUGUCCCCACAUGGUCCUCCCUCUGUGUGAGUCUGUGUCUUCAUCUCCCCUUCUUAUAAGGACACCAAUCAGGUUGGAUUAGGGGCCACCCUAAAGACCUCACUUUAACUCAAUCACCUCUUUAAAGAACCCACCUCCAAAUAUAGUCCUGAGGUCCUGGGGGUUAGGACUUCAACAGAGGAAUGCUGGGGAGACACAAUUCAACCCAUAGCAUGCAUAUAAUUGUAGUUUGUUAAUUUUCACUACUCUAUAGUAUCCCAUUUUAUGAACAGACAAAAGUAUAUUAUUUAUUCUACCAACAAUGGAUAUUUUGGUUAUUUCCAGUUUUUUGUUAUUAUAGAUGAUACUGCCACAAGCAACCUGGCUCCCAUGAACAUGUAGCAUAUAUGCAUCUCUAUAUUUACUGUUAAUCCCAAUUCUUUUACAAAGUGGUUGCACCAGUUUACACUCCCACCAGCAGCAUAUCGGAGUUACUCCACAUUCUUACCAAUAUUUGGUAUGGUCAGAAUCCUUAACUUGCUAAUCUCAUGGUUGCAAAAUAAUAUCUCUUUUGUGGCUUUAAUUAGCCUUUCCCAGAUUACCAAUAAGGCAGUGAAUCUUUUCAUUUGUUUAUGAAAUGCUUUUUCAUUUCCUCUGUCCAUUUUUCCACUGGGUUGUUCACUCUGCCUUACUGAUUUGUCAAAAGUCUUCGCAUAUUGCAGUUGCAAUUACUUUGAUCACCUGUGGCUUGUCUUUUCAGAUUCUCUUGCCAAUUUUUGUCCACCUUGGCUCCUCUUCUUUUGCCCGUCUCUUGUUCGUGUCCCUCUUGGGUCCUGUUCUCUCCUUGUUCCACAUGUGAUCCCAUGUCAAUCAGUCCAAUGAAUAAAGUUUCCACUGCAUAUGCACCUGAAUCCUAAGUCUAUAUCUUCAAAAUAGCUCUUAAAAUCCACUGAACUCAGCCAGGUGCAGUGGCUCAUGCCUGUAAUCCCAGCACUUUGGGAGGCUGAGGUGGGCAGAUCACAUAAGGCCAGGAGUUCGAGACCAGCCUGGCCAACAUGGUGAAACCCCUUCUCUACUAAAAUUACAAAAAUUAACCAGGUAUGGUGGUGAAUGUCUGUAAUCCCAGCUACUUGGGAAACUGAGGCAUGAGAAUCGCUUGAACCCAGGAGGCGGAGGCUACAGUGAGCCAAGAUCAUGUCACUGCACUCCAGCCUGGGAGAUAGGGCAAGACUCUGUCUCAAAAAAAAAAAAAAAAAUCCACUGAACUCUUCAUGCUCUUUUCCUAACCUGUGAACUUUUGAACAUGUUUACUGCUGUUCAGGGAAUACCAUCUCCCAUCCUGGCCCCUGCUCCUCCCUAUACUCUGUAUAGCUAACUCCUGUUAACCUGCAAGUCUCAGGUCUCAGCUGAAGGGACCUCUUUUAACCAUGCUCCCAGAGUGCCCUAUAACUGUCACAUCACAGCACUUAGCACACAGUAUUGCCAUUAUCCUUUUACUCGGCUGUCUCUCCCACCAGACUGUAAGUCCCCAUGACACUGUACAUAGCAGCAUGUCUGUACAAAACUGACAUGCAAUAAAUCCUUGAUGGUGAAUUAAUUAAUAAUUCUUCAUGGGUAAAAAAUUAGGCUCACCAAUAAAACACAUGAGCACUCAAAUCAUUUGUACUAUUAAAACAUGUAUGUAAAUUCUACACAUUAAUCAUCAAAACAAUGUUAAAAUAACCUCUGAACCCUGAUCUCCCAAAAUAAAUGUAUUAUAAGUGUGUAAA